GAGUUUGAAAUUGGCUAUAAAGGCCGAAACUGGUCAUUGUUUCGCUUCUUCUUCGAUUUUUCUUGUAAAAACCCACAUCAGAAAUCUAAAAAAGCUGAAUAGAAAUUUUAAAAGGUUGAAUCCUUGCUAUUUCUUCUUGGUUUUCUCUUAUUUAUUUGAUCUUAUUUUGUUUUAUUUUUUUUCGUUGCAAAUCUAUUCUAAAGUAAUUAAAAAAAUCAAAAAAAGAGAAAAGAAAAGAAUACCUGAAUCGGCCCUUGGACUGGCCGGCGAUGGUCCUUUGCCGUCAUCGGAUUCGAGCUCGAGAGGGGCCAAAGGUCUUGUUUUCUCCUCGACUCCCCUUCCAAAAGUUCAGGCCCUCUGAAUAUGCUUCAACUGCGCAGAUCGGGAACUCCGUCGCGUGACGCCGACCACCGGCCAUGGCGGCGAUUUGGAGCGGUCGAGAAAAGGGAUUGAGGGGUUUG
rnacentral:lncRNA from 1 species